UGGUGAGGGAUCGUAAAUGAACACUUUUGUUCCUGCCUCCCAAGGCAGGUGAAACAAGACAGUCACUCUUGUCUGACCACCUGGAGUCCGGAAGAAAAUGCCUGGAGGACUGAGUCACCCACUAGGCCUGAGGUCUUAGUUUUUCUUGAAAGUGAAUUUCCAGAGAGAAGAUGCACCUAGAAGAUGGAAGGAUGAAGAUAGGAGAGGGGACCGAUCUCAGGAAUACUUGGGAAAGAGCAUUUUGAAGUAAGGUAUAUUCACAGCUUCAGGAAGACUGAAACAGAAGAGUUUUAAACCAAGGACACCAAAGUUCCAGUAUGGAGUUCUAGAGGUCUAACUCGGGUCACACCAAGUACUCACUCUACCCCCAGCUACUACCUGCUCUUCACCAGCCUCCUCUCAUGGCUUGAAACCCACGAUGUGAGGCAUGGAUAACCAUGGGAUCUUUAAUGUGAGGCCUCUUCAAUUCUGCAACAGCCCAAUCUUCACAGAAGAGCAGAGCCAUGGUGACCUAUGAGACAAGAAAAGCAGGACCGGGGCUGGGGAGACUGCCCCGCAGUUAAGAGCACUGGCUGCUCCUCCAAGAGGAGCAGGGUUCCAUUCCCAGCACAGGUGGCUUCCAGGAGUUAAGUUAACCAUCUUAACUCCAGUUCCAGGGCGUCCAAUGUCUUUCUGUGGCCUCCACAGCACCAGACAUGCUCAUGGUAGACAGACACAGACAAAACGCCCAUAAGAAUACAACACAAAUACAUUUUUAAAAAGAA
rnacentral:lncRNA from 1 species